AAACUUGGAGUGAUGAUUGUUGCAUAGUUCAGAUGAGAUUCAUCUCUGAUUAAUUUAAACAGAAAUUAGUCUUUCUCUUCUAUCAAAAUUUACAAGACU